GACGAACGCUGGCGGCGUGCCUAAUACAUGCAAGUCGAACGCUUUGAUUUUCACCGGAGCUUGCUCCACCGAAAAUCAAAGAGUGGCGGACGGGUGAGUAACACGUGGGCAACCUGCCCAACAGAGGGGGAUAACACUUGGAAACAGGUGCUAAUACCGCAUAAUUUGUUUUUCCGCAUGGAAGAAUAAUAAAAGACGCUUCGGUGUCACUGUUGGAUGGGCCCGCGCUGCAUUAGUUAGUUGGUGGGGUAACGGCCUACCAAGACCAUGAUGCAUAGCCGACCUGAGAGGGUGAUCGGCCACACUGGGACUGAGACACGGCCCAGACUCCUACGGAAGGCAGCAGUAGGGAAUCUUCGGCAAUGGACGAAAGUCUGACCGAGCAACGCCGCGUGAGUGAAGAAGGUUUUCGGAUCGUAAAACUCUGUUGUUAGAGAAGAACAAGUGAGAGAGUUACUGUUCUCACCUUGACGGUAUCUAACCAGAAAGCCACGGCUAACUACGUGCCAGCAGCCGCGGUAAUACGUAGGUGGCAAGCGUUGUCCGGAUUUAUUGGGCGUAAAGCGAGCGCAGGCGGUUUCUUAAGUCUGAUGUGAAAGCCCUCGGCUCAACCGAGGAAGGUCAUUGGAAACUGGGGAACUUGAGUGCAGAAGAGGAGAGUGGAAUUCCAUGUGUAGCGGUGAAAUGCGUAGAUAUAUGGAGGAACACCAGUGGCGAAGGCGACUCUCUGGUCUGUAACUGACGCUGAGGCUCGAAAGCGUGGGGAGCAAACAGG
rnacentral:rRNA from 1 species